UAUUUUCUUUAUAAAUUACCCAAUUUGUAGUAUUCCAUUAUAAGCUGCAGAAAAUGCCUUAAGAUGGCUGACUAGAGACAUUGAAAGCCAGUUCUCCGCAGAAAGAAGAUCAAAGUUACUGGUGAAUGGACAAAUUCUGAGGGUAAACUGAGGGAUGUGAGCCAGGACCUGUCAGAGUGUUCAAGGGAAGACACUAUGGUGCAGAAAAGGAAAGCAGCAAGAGUCUGGCUGAGAUUGAUCCCUGUGGAACUUGAAGCCCUGAGAAAAAGAUUUUGCUGAUAAAACUUUUGGACUAACGAGGCUUCAAGAUGGCUGACUAGAAGUAUCUGGCUCUCCCGUCCUCCACAAAGAAGAAUCAAAAUAGUGAGUAGAUAAUCAAACUUCAAUUAGAGCAUCUAAGAAAGAACAAUGACAUUCAACAGAGAAGUGAUAGGAAACACCUGAGGAAGAGAAGAAAGGCGAAGUCAGGCAGCCAGGUUGGCUGCA